AUCUGUGCGCCGAGACGCGCCCGCCUUCUACCCGCUGCAAUACCGCAGGCGCGAGCUGCGCUUCAACCUGACCGCCAAUCAGCACCUGCUGGCGCCCGGCUUUGUGAGCGAGAUGCCGCGGCGCGGCGCCCUGGGUCGCGCGCACAUCCGGGCCCACACCCCCGCCUGCCACCUGCUUGGCGAGGUGCAGGACUCCGAGCUCGAGGGUGGCCUGGCGGCCAUCAGCGCCUGCGACGGCCUGAAAGGUGUGUUCCUGCUCUCCAACAAGGACUACUUCAUUCAGCCCCUGGACGGUGCCCCAGCCUGGCCCAGCCAUGCCCAGCCCCAUGUGGUGUACAAGCAUCCGGCCCCGGAGAGGCUGGCACAGCGGGGUGAUUCCAGUGCUCCAAGUACCUGUGGGGUGCAAGGUGGCUGGCCUGUUUCACGACCCCAGCAUUGGGAACCCCAUCCACAUGACCAUUGUGCUCCUGGUCCUUCUGGAAGAUGAGGAGGAAGGACCUGUGUGCAGCCAUGAACUGGCCCUGUGAGACCCUGGGCUUGUCCCAUGUGGUGGGCAUGUGCCAGCUGCACCGU
ensembl:lncRNA novel transcript